AACGAACGCUGGCGGCAGGCCUAACACAUGCAAGUCGAACGCUGUAGCAAUACAGAGUGGCAGACGGGUGAGUAACGCGUGGGAACCUUUCCAGUGGUGCAGAAUAGCUCAGGGAAACUUGAGUUACUACCGCCUAAGCCCCUAGGGGGAAAGAUUUAACGCCAUUGGAUGGGCCCGCGUCGGAUUAGCUAGUUGGUGAGGUAACGGCUCACCAAGGCAAUGAUGGAUAGCCGGUCUGAGAGGAUGAACGGCCAAACUGGGACUGAGACACGGCCCAGACGCCUACGGGAGGCAGCAGUGAGGAAUUUUCCGCAAUGGGCGAAAGCCUGACGGAGCAACGCCGCGUGGAGGAUGACGGCUUUCGGGUUGUAAACUCCUUUCAGCGGGGACGAAGCCGCAAGGUGACGGUACCCGCAGAAGAAGCCCCGGCCAACUACGUGCCAGCCGCCGCGGUAAUAC
rnacentral:rRNA from 1 species